ACUAAGGGAUUUUUGUGGGGUAAAUGCAGUAGCUGUUUGGCUUUUCCAGCUGACUGGUUGCCUGGUGGCCUUCUUCCUUAUUUGGAUCAGGGGAACAAGGAAGUCAAGAGAUAGUGAGAGCAGGCGUGGCAUUCGGGGAUUAGCUGGAGUUCUCUGCGGAUCUCUGAGAAGAGAUGUAAGUUUCUGUUUCUGGAGGUAGUUUUGUUUUUCUUUAAGUACUUGCAUUGACUGUCUCCAUUUUGUCCCUGACAUGGAUGACUCCAUUUUAGUUUGGUUCUACCUUGUAAUUUCAGGAACUGGCUCAGAGUGGACCCACUUCUCUUGCCUCUGAGGUCUUGUGCUGAUUGAGUGCUUCUGUGUUCUGCCUUCCAGCCUCAUAGACAAAGGAGGAUUAGGGGUGUCUGAACUCCACACAGCUUUGUCUGGGAAGUGGAUCACAUCCAGACUGGUGAACUCUGGGACCCUGGGUGUAGUGUGGAGGCCAGGAGCGGAUGGACCUGGAGUUCUAUGUGCUUGGGCUUGGUCUGGAUGGGCCACUGCUGCUCUUGGACUACCAAGGAUGCACCAAGGAAGAUGAUCAACAGGCACCCAGGAAGGAUGCUGUCUUCAGGUCGGUUGCCCUUGGGAUAUGGCCUUCAGGUUUGUUUUCUGCCGCAGAACACUCAGAAUACUGCUGCCUAGCUUCCCAGACUAUCUUACCCUGUCUUAUUCCUAACCUCACGCUGAUCUGCGUGCAGUGA
rnacentral:lncRNA from 1 species